AUUGAACGCUGGCGGCAGGCCUAACACAUGCAAGUCGAGCGAGCGGCGGACGGGUGAGUAAUGUAUGGGGAUCUGCCCGCUAGAGGGGGAUAACUACUCGAAAGAGUGGAUAAUACCGCAUACUAUUGGAGCGGCCAAUAUCGGAUUAGCUAGUUGGUGGGGUAAAGGCUCACCAAGGCAACGAUCCGUAGCUGGUUUGAGAGGACGACCAGCCACACUGUGACUGAGACCCGGCCCAGCCUCCUACGGGAGGCAGCCUUGGGGAAUUUUGGACAAUGGGGGAAACCCUGAUCCAGCCCUCCCUCGUGUAUGAGAAGGCCUUCGGGUUGUAAAGUACUUUUGGCAGAGAAGCGGUAUCUGCAUAAUAAGCACCGGCUAACUACGUGCCAGCCGCCGCGGUAAUAC
rnacentral:rRNA from 1 species